ACCCGAUCCCAUCUCGAACUCGGUCGUUAAGCCCCCUUGCGCCAAUGGUACUACGUCUUAAGGCGUGGGAGAGUAGGUCGCUGCCGGGU
rnacentral:rRNA from 1 species